AGGACUCAAGUAGCGUGGUGGCCUAGAACU
rnacentral:piRNA from 1 species